rnacentral:rRNA from 1 species
UUUGAUCCUGGCUCAGAUUGAACGCUGGCGGCAUGCCUUACACAUGCAAGUCGAACGGCAGCGCGGGAGCAAUCCUGGCGGCGAGUGGCGAACGGGUGAGUAAUACAUCGGAACGUGCCCAAUCGUGGGGGAUAACGCAGCGAAAGCUGUGCUAAUACCGCAUACGAUCUACGGAUGAAAGCAGGGGAUCGCAAGACCUUGCGCGAAUGGAGCGGCCGAUGGCAGAUUAGGUAGUUGGUGAGGUAAAGGCUCACCAAGCCUUCGAUCUGUAGCUGGUCUGAGAGGACGACCAGCCACACUGGGACUGAGACACGGCCCAGACUCCUACGGGAGGCAGCAGUGGGGAAUUUUGGACAAUGGGCGAAAGCCUGAUCCAGCCAUGCCGCGUGCAGGAUGAAGGCCUUCGGGUUGUAAACUGCUUUUGUACGGAACGAAACGGCCUUUUCUAAUAAAGAGGGCUAAUGACGGUACCGUAAGAAUAAGCACCGGCUAACUACGUGCCAGCAGCCGCGGUAAUACGUAGGGUGCAAGCGUUAAUCGGAAUUACUGGGCGUAAAGCGUGCGCAGGCGGUUAUGUAAGACAGUUGUGAAAUCCCCGGGCUCAACCUGGGAACUGCAUCUGUGACUGCAUAGCUAGAGUACGGUAGAGGGGGAUGGAAUUCCGCGUGUAGCAGUGGAAUGCGUAGAUAUGCGGAGGAACACCGAUGGCGAAGGCAAUCCCCUGGACCUGUACUGACGCUCAUGCACGAAAGCGUGGGGAGCAAACAGGAUUAGAUACCCUGGUAGUCCACGCCCUAAACGAUGUCAACUGGUUGUUGGGUCUUCACUGACUCAGUAACGAAGCUAACGCGUGAAGUUGACCGCCUGGGGAGUACGGCCGCAAGGUUGAAAACUCAAAGGAAUUGACGGGGACCCGCACAAGCGGUGGAUGAUGUGGUUUAAUUCGAUGCAACGCGAAAAACCUUACCCACCUUUGACAUGUACGGAAUUCGCCAGAGAUGGCUUAGUGCUCGAAAGAGAACCGUAACACAGGUGCUGCAUGGCUGUCGUCAGCUCGUGUCGUGAGAUGUUGGGUUAAGUCCCGCAACGAGCGCAACCCUUGUCAUUAGUUGCUACAUUCAGUUGGGCACUCUAAUGAGACUGCCGGUGACAGACCGGAGGAAGGUGGGGAUGACGUCAAGUCCUCAUGGCCCUUAUAGGUGGGGCUACACACGUCAUACAAUGGCUGGUACAAAGGGUUGCCAACCCGCGAGGGGGAGCUAAUCCCAUAAAACCAGUCGUAGUCCGGAUCGCAGUCUGCAACUCGACUGCGUGAAGUCGGAAUCGCUAGUAAUCGUGGAUCAGAAUGUCACGGUGAAUACGUUCCCGGGUCUUGUACACACCGCCCGUCACACCAUGGGAGCGGGUUCUGCCAGAAGUAGUUAGCUUAACCGCAAGGAGGGCGAUUACCACGGCAGGGUUCGUGACUGGGGUGAAGUCGUAACAAGGUA